rnacentral:rRNA from 1 species
GUGUUAAGUGGAAAAGGAUGUGGGAUUUCGAAGACAACUAGGAUGUUGGCUCAGAAGCAGCCACACAUUCAAAGAGUGCGUAAUAGCUCACUAGUCGAGAGGUCCUGCGCCGAAAAUGUCCGGGGCUAAAACACAACACCGAAGCUUAGGAAUGUAGAAAUACAUUGGUAGAGGAGCAUUCUUAAAGGAAUGAAGCAGUACCGGUAAGGAGCUGUGGACUUUUAAGAAGAGAGAAUGCCGGAAUGAGUAGCGAGAUGGAGGUGGGAAUCCUCCAGGCCGAAUAUCCAAGGUUUCCAGAGUAAAGCUGAUCUGCUCUGGGUAAGUCGGGGCCUAAGGCGAGGUCAAAAGACGUAGCCGAUGGACAACAGGUUUAGAUUCCUGUACCGCAUAUAAACAGAACUGUGGGGACGCAUGGGGAGAGCAUGGGCCGGGAAUGGAAAUACCGGUGCAAGCGAAGGAGGUGUGCAGCCGGCAAAUCCGCUGCAUGAGCCGAAAGCGUGACGCGGAGCGAAAUGAAAGUAGCGAAGCAUGUGAGCCCUGUGCCGAGAAAAGCCGCUAUUGUUUUAUAUGUGCCCGUACCGUAAACCGACACAGGUGGAUGAGGAGAGAAUCCUAAGGCCGGCGGAAGAAGUAUUGUUAAGGAACUCGGCAAAAUGACCCCGUAACUUCGGGAGAAGGGGUGCCCACGGGAGUGGGCCGCAGAGAAUAGGCUCAAGCAACUGUUUAGCAAAAACACAGGUCUAUGCGAAACCGAAAGGUGAGGUAUAUGGGCUGACGCCUGCCCGGUGCUGGAAGGUUAAGAGGAGAGGUUAGCGCAAUCGAAGCUUUGAAUUUAAGCCCCAGUAAACGGCGGCCGUAACUAUAACGGUCCUAAGGUAGCGAAAUUCCUUGUCGGGUAAGUUCCGACCCGCACGAAAGGCGUAAUGAUUUGAGCGCUGUCUCGACAAUGCACCCGGUGAAAUUGAAAUACCAGUGAAGAUGCUGGUUACCUGCGCCAGGACGGAAAGACCCCAUGGAGCUUUACUCCAGCUUGAUACUGGGAUUCGGUACUGCAUGUACAGGAUAGGUGGGAGACUGAGAACUAUGAACGCCAGUUUGUAGGGAGUCGCUGUUGGGAUACCACCCUUGCGGUAUUGGAUUUCUAACCUGCAGCCGUGAACCGGCUGGGGGACAAUGUCAGGCGGGGAGUUUGACUGGGGCGGUCGCCUCCGAAAGGGUAUCGGAGGCGCUCAAAGGUUCCCUCAGAAUGGUCGGAAACCAUUUGAAGAGUGCAAAGGCAGAAGGGAGCUUGACUGCGACACCGACGGGUGGAGCAGGUA